UGCCAGCAGCCGCGGUAAUACGGAGGGAGCUAGCGUUGUUCGGAAUUACUGGGCGUAAAGCGUGCGUAGGCGGCUUGAUAAGUAGAGGGUGAAAUCCCGGAGCUCAACUCCGGAACUGCCCCCUAAACUGUUGAGCUAGAAUCCUGGAGAGGUGAGUGGAAUUCCUAGUGUAGAGGUGAAAUUCGUAGAUAUUAGGAAGAACACCAGUGGCGAAGGCGACUCACUGGACAGGUAUUGACGCUGAGGUACGAAAGCGUGGGGAGCGAACAGGAUUAGAUA
rnacentral:rRNA from 1 species